rnacentral:antisense_RNA from 1 species
GGUGGCCUCGGUUCCCCUCACCGCCCGGUCCAGCAUAACCCGCUAAGUUGGGGGGAGGCCGUUCCUCUUGGGCCUCCAGGCGACAAACCCCCUGCCUGGCCGGCACGAAAGCAGUCUCUUUGGGGCCUCUCGGAGAGCUCCGGGCAGCUUGGCGCGCUCUGCAGACGGCGGACAGCAAGAAAAUGGCGGCGGCCUCAGCUGAGGCGGGCAACUAAGGAGGGACUGACUUCAAAAGACGGUCCCCGAUCUCAGACACCGUCGUCAAUAUAGCCCGCUGUUGGUCUGCAGGGAUUCCCUCUUCUUGUCGGGCCGGGACGAAGGCCAUUUCCAAGUGGAUGGAGGUGGAUUGUAAUGGCGGCCCCGGACGACUCGAAGGCUCUGUAUCGGUAGGCAGAAUCCUCCAGCUCGUUCUAGAGGCUGCUCCACUCCAGCACGAAAUGGCGCCGCCGAGCCCCGCGCCAGCCCUUUAUAUAUAGGCGGGGAGGAGGAGCUUCGCCGCUCAUGCGCGCCACCCUGCUUGAGAUUUUCCCCACCCCCUCCGCGCGCGCGCGCUCGCUCACGCGGGUGAAGAAGCU